AUUGAACGCUGGCGGCAGGCCUAACACAUGCAAGUCGAGCGGAUGAAGGGAGCUUGCUCCUGGAUUCAGCUGCGGACGGGUGAGUAAUGCCUAGGAAUAUGCCUGGUAGUGGGGGCUAACGUCCGGAAACGGGCGCUAAUACCGCAUACGUCCUGAUGGAGAACGUGGUGGAUCUUCGGACCUCACGCUAUCAGAUGAGCCUAGGUCGGAUUAGCUAGUUGGUGAGGUAAAGGCCUACCAAGGCGACGAUCCGUAACUGGUCUGAGAGGAUGAUCAGUCACACUGGAACUGAGACACGGUCCAGACUCCUACGGGAGGCAGCAGUGGGGAAUAUUGGACAAUGGGCGAAAGCCUGAUCCAGCCAUGCCGCGUGUGUGAAGAAGGUCUUCGGAUUGUAAAGCACUUUUAGUUGGGAAGAAGGGAAGUAAGUUUAUACCUUGCUGUUUUGACGUUACCAACAGAAUAAGCACCGGCUAACUUCGUG
rnacentral:rRNA from 1 species